rnacentral:rRNA from 1 species
UACGUAGGGGCGAGCGUUGUCCGGAAUGAUUGGGCGUAAAGGGAGCGUAGGCGGUUCGGUAUGUCGAAUGUGAAAGCCCACAACUCAACUGUGGAAAUGCAUUCGAAACUGCCGGGCUAGAGUACUGGAGAGGAGAGCGGAAUUCUUGGUGUAGCGGUGAAAUGCGUAGAUAUCAAGAGGAACACCGGUGGCGAAGGCGGCUCUCUGGACAGAUACUGACGCUGAGGCUCUAAAGUUAGGGGAGCAAACAGGAUUAGAUACCCU